GCUAAUACCGGAUAAGAAAGCGGAUCGCAUGAUCAGCUUUUAAAAGGCGGCGUAAGCUGUCGCUAUGGGAUGGCCCCGCGGUGCAUUAGCUAGUUGGUAAGGUAAAGGCUUACCAAGGCGAUGAUGCAUAGCCGAGUUGAGAGACUGAUCGGCCACAUUGGGACUGAGACACGGCCCAAACUCCUACGGGAGGCAGCAGCC
rnacentral:rRNA from 1 species